UCAAGUGUCAAACGUAUCGUAACACAUUGUGCAUUUUUAUUAGUUCUACAAAAUUAUUUAAGUAUGCCGAAAUACUAUAGGUUCCGACCAAAUACACGACCAAGAAACUUAAAAAGGAAAGAACGAGAAGUCAUGGAAGAACGCUUGUUUGGAGUACACAAGGAGUGGAUUGACUUGAUACCAACACCAGUGAAAUGUUGGUACCUUCGACGCAUUGCUUGGCGCCACCCGCUUUAUACUUACGUUGCACUCUGCAAAAGCUAUUUAUGGUCUAUCUAUAUGCAAUGCGAAUUGGUAAUCGUUCUGUGACGCCCGAUUAAGAUUCUUCGGUCUUUUGAUCGAUUAUAUGUAUAUUGUCAAUGUCUAAAUCUACACUGUUUUGGUAGGAAAAUUGUAUGUUUUGACAAUUGACUUGGAAAUAUAUUUUUUAUAAAAUGUAA